rnacentral:rRNA from 1 species
AUUGAACGCUGGCGGCAGGCCUAACACAUGCAAGUCGAGCGGAUGAAGGGAGCUUGCUCCUGGAUUCAGCGGCGGACGGGUGAGUAAUGCCCAGGAAUCUGCCUGGUAGUGGGGGAUAACGUCCGGAAACGGGCGCUAAUACCGCAUACGUCCUGAGGGAGAAAGUGGGGGAUCUUCGGACCUCACGCUAUCAGAUGAGCCUAGGUCGGAUUAGCUAGUUGGUGGGGUAAAGGCCUACCAAGGCGACGAUCCGUAACUGGUCUGAGAGGAUGAUCAGUCACACUGGAACUGAGACACGGUCCAGACUCCUACGGGAGGCAGCAGUGGGGAAUAUUGGACAAUGGGCGGAAGCCUGAUCCAGCCAUGCCGCGUGUGUGAAGAAGGUCUUCGGAUUGUAAAGCACUUUAAGUUGGGAGGAAGGGCAGUAAGUUAAUACCUUGCUGUUUUGACGUUACCAACAGAAUAAGCACCGGCUAACUUCGUG